rnacentral:rRNA from 1 species
UCUUGACUCUUUGACCUCAAAUCA